UCUAGGCCGUCUCCUCUGACCGUCAGCACCCCUCCCUCAGGCGGUUAGCGUUCCUGUGUGUUCCCAUUGGGUCGUACACAAUGAUACCUGCAUGGUAGCUGGAAGUGUCUCUAUUCUUGCGGGAGCACCACAUCUAAAACAGCCGUUGUCUCGAUUUCCACAGGUAUCUUCCCAAACCCCAAGUCCAGUCGAACCACAGAGGUGGCAGCCAUUAUCAUAAACGUAGUGGUUAGAAUAGCCUCUUCCUUAACCCAGGUCUGUAGUCCCUUUGUCCCAGCCGACUGGGCCACCAGAAACACAGACUGGUGAAGAGAUGUAUCUGGUGUAUUCAUCUCCCCCAAUUUGUUCCUUUUUAUGACCUGCGUAGACUCUCCCAACACGUACAAAGUGGACCAAAACCGCCUCCAGACAGCCUUCAGACGUCCGGGCGACUGAGUAAAACGGGUCAAGGGUUAUCUCGGUCACCAGCAGGGUUGGCUACGUCGAUAAUAGGAACCUGUACUGACCAGUUUCGCAACCCACACCGGACAUGCGCUCGCCAACUCAAUCCGUUUAAGGCUAGCCCUCUCCGGGUGAGGCUUGAGCUCCAGGGACCCAGUCCUGGCCGUGCACGUUUGUCUCAGCUGGCAGUGGACGAGAAACGAUAAGAACUGUUAAUGGAAGUUUUACCCAAAAGGGCAAAUUGCCCCUACUUCCUCCAAAGGGAUAAGGGAACAUUGUAAAAGACAGUCGGCCACAUUCCUGAAGAAAAGGGACAGAUACCCUUAUUGGUUUAGUCAGAUUAACAGAUGGUCAGAGGAUCCAAUGAUCCACUGAUAUCAUUCAGACAUGUGUGUCACAAACAAAGACCAGAGUUACAUACCAGGGAAUAGAAAAGUAGACAUUUCUAAAAUGUACAUUGCUUUAUGAAAUUCCAUGCCAGUUCCUUCCCUUGGGACUGAUCAUCAGGGGCCUCCCGUGGGGAGCUGGGUACUGUAAGGGUUUCCUGUUUAUUCCUUGUUUUGUGUUUCCCUGUUGUUAUUCCUAGUACAGUCCUAGUAUCAUAUAUUUAUGCUUGGUACUCAAUUAGUCAUGUCUGUUGAUAUCUCCAUUAGUGUGACUUGUUUUCCUCCACACCUGUUUGUAUUUAGUGUUUCUAUUUAGUUCUGUUCAGCAUCCAGUUUCUUUGGGAGGUACUGUUUGUAUUUACAACUCUACUGAACCUUUUUCUUGUGUUUACCAUUUAAUUAGACCAUUGCUUUCCAAUUAGUGUUUUGACCUCAUAUCUGCCUUAGUCCUUUUGGACCUUUGCUCCCGCCUAUUCUGACCUUCCCAUGUACUGACCUUUUGCUUGCUCUGUGUUUCUGGCAUUUGGAUUUAGGAUAGCUUUUUUAUAAAACAUAGUGCUCUGCAAUUGGAUCCACUUCUUUUUUGAGUGUAUUCAUGACACUCUUAAACAAAUAAGCAAAUCCAUCCAUACACUACAUAGAACUGUACUGAUAGAUGAAUACAGUAUGUGUUGAAGGAAAUGUUUACACCUGGUUCUAACAUGUCUUUAAUCCUGAUUAUAUCUGUACACAGCUAAAAAAAAAAACUAUCUCUAUCUUAUCACAAUUUGUCUAUACCUGUCAUUUGGAUGCAAUAUGAUUGUGAUCCGGAUCUGGACAAAGGACAUGUUAGAAUCAGAUAUUAACAAUGCAUUUUGAUAAGAAAACCUCUUUACACGUAUUUCAAGUAAACAUCCACAAAAUAGUUCCAUAUUUGUCUGCAUAAACUUUCCUUCAGGUAACAUGAAGCUUAUUACCAGAUAUAAAGUGUCCAUGUUCCAUUGCCCACUGGAAAAAAAAUCGAACAAAUCUUAUCUUUUUUUCACUGGCCUUGUUUUCAAUGGACUGGACCAAAGCUGAACCAAUUCUAGACACCUAUACUUGAUUCACAUUUGGUCUGGACCAGAUUUUGUUCAAAAAUAUUUGUCUAUAAUUGGUUCAGUGUCAGGUCCUGGCUGGUGGCCUCUCAGCAUCUCCAUACGCCUUGGGGCCAGAGUACUGUAUUCUGUUCUCCCCAAAUAGAGACUGCUUUUUCGCAUCUCUAAUUGGGGACCCUAUUUAAGUUGUUCUGUUUGACUUUCAGUUGGUUGGUCAUUGUUUUGAGUUAGCUGUCUGUGUUGCUGCCCUUCAUUUCCGGUUUGUACCUGUCUUGUUGUUUUCUAUUUUUACAAUUAAAAGGAUGAUUCCCCAUAGCUCUACGCCUUGUGUCCUGCCUCUGA